GAUGAACGCUGGCGGCGUGCCUAACACAUGCAAGUCGAGCGAACAGACAGGGAGCUUGCUCCUCUGACGUUAGCGGCUGACGGGCGAGUAACACGUGGAUAAGCUACCUCUAAUACUGGGAUAACUUCGGGAAACCGGAUCUAAUACCGGAUAAUAUAUUGAACCGCAUGGUUCAAUAGUGAAAGACGGUUUUGCUGUCACUUAUAGAUGGAUCCGCGUCGCAUUAGCUAGUUGGUAAGGUAACGGCUUACCAAGGCAACGAUGCGUAGCCGACCUGAGAGGGUGAUCGGCCACACUGGAACUGAGACACGGUCCAGACUCCUACGGGAGGCAGCAGUAGGGAAUCUUCCGCAAUGGGCGAAAGCCUGACGGAGCAACGCCGCGUGAGUGAUGAAGGUCUUCGGAUCGUAAAACUCUGUUAUUAGGGAAGAACAGAUGUGUAAGUAACUAUGCACGUCUUGACGGUACCUAAUCAGAAAGCCACGGCUAACUACGUG
rnacentral:rRNA from 1 species